UGGGGAAUAUUGCACAAUGGGCGCAAGCCUGAUGCAGCCAUGCCGCGUGUGUGAAGAAGGCCUUCGGGUUGUAAAGCACUUUCAGCGAGGAGGAAGGUGGUGAACUUAAUACGUUCAUCAAUUGACGUUACUCGCAGAAGAAGCACCGGCUAACUCCGUGCCAGCAGCCGCGGUAAUACGGAGGGUGCAAGCGUUAAUCGGAAUUACUGGGCGUAAAGCGCACGCAGGCGGUUUGUUAAGUCAGAUGUGAAAUCCCCGGGCUCAACCUGGGAACUGCAUUGGUGACUGGCAGGCUAGAGUCUCGUAGAGGGGGGUAGAAUUCCAGGUGUAGCGGUGAAAUGCGUAGAGAUCUGGAGGAAUACCGGUGGCGAAGGCGGCCCCCUGGACGAAGACUGACGCUCAGGUGCGAAAGCGUGGGGCAGCAAACAGGAUUAGAUACCCCGGUAGUCCACGCUGUAAAACGAUGUCGAUUUUGGAGGUUGUGCCCUUGAGGCGUGGCUUCCGGAGCUAACGCGUUAAAUCGACCGCCUGGGGAGUACGGCCGCAAGGUUAAAACUCAAAUGAAUUGACGGGGUCAUAGCUGUUUCCU
rnacentral:rRNA from 1 species